rnacentral:rRNA from 1 species
UACGGGGGGGGCAAGCGUUGUUCGGAAUUACUGGGCGUAAAGGGCUCGUAGGCGGCCAACUAAGUCGGAUGUGAAAUCCCCAGGCUUAACCUGGGAACUGCAUCCGAUACUGGAUGGCUUGAAUUCGGGAGAGGGAUGCAGAAUUCCAGGUGUAGCGGUGAAAUGCGUAGAUAUCGGGAGGAACACCUGUGGCGAAAGCGGCGCACUGGACCACAACUGACGCUGAGGCGCGAAAGCUAGGGGAGCAAACAGG